rnacentral:SRP_RNA from 1 species
GCCAGGUAUGGUACCCCUUGCAAUCCUUGCUACCUGGGAGUAUGAGGUUGGUGGACUUACUUGAGCUCAAGAGUUCUGGGGCAUUAUAGGCCUAAAGCAGAUCAGGUGGCCACGCUAGGUUGGGCAACAAUAUAGUGAGUUUCCAGGAUUAAGAGGCUACUAGGUUCUCUAAGGAGGAGUGAACCAACCCAGGUUGGAAAUGGAGCGGGUCAAAGUUUCUCUGCCAAUCGAUAGAAGGCUCAUCCUGGGAGGGGCUACUGUACUUUCAGCCUCGUUGAAUAGGAAGACCCAGUCUAAA